rnacentral:rRNA from 1 species
GAUGAACGCUGGCGGCGUGCCUAAUACAUGCAAGUCGAGCGAACGGACGCGGCGCUUGCUUCUCUCAUGUUAGCGGAGGGCGGGUGAGUCACACGUGGAUCCCCUACCUAUAAGACUGGGAUAACUUCGGGAAACCGGAGCUAAUACCGGAUAAUCUUUUGAACCGCAUGGUUCAAAAGUGAGAGACGGUCUUGCUGUCACUUAUCGAUGGAUCCGCGCUGCAUUAGCUAGUUGGUAAGGUAACGGCUUACCAAGGCAACGAUGCAUAGCCGACCUGAGAGGGGGAUAGGCGACACUGGAACGGAGACACGGUCCAGACUCCUACGGGAGGCAGCAGUAGGGAAUCGUACGCAAUGGGCGGAAGCCUGACGGAGCAAGGGGGAGUGAGUGAUGAAGGUCUUCGGAGCGGAAAACUGGGUUACUAGGUAAGAACAGAUUUGUAAGGAACUGUGCAGAGCUUGACGGUACUUAAUCAGAAAGCCACGGCUAACUACGUG